rnacentral:rRNA from 1 species
GCCAGCAGCUAUAUCAGCAAUAUGAGCAGCUCUCAACUGGUUACUCACUGAAGCUAAGCUGGGUUGAGCCUGGUCAGUACCUGGAUGCGAGACCUCCUGGGAAGCUAUGGUUGCUUCUGGAA